UACGUAGGCAGCGAGCGUUGUUCGGAGUUACUGGGCGUAAAGAGUGCGUAGGCGGUGCUCUAAGUUUGGUGUGAAAUCUCCCGGCUUAACUGGGAGGGUGCGCCGAAAACUGGAGUGCUUGAGUAUGGGAGAGGCAAGCGGAAUUCCUGGUGUAGCGGUGAAAUGCGCAGAUAUCAGGAGGAACACCAAUAGCGAAGGCAGCUCGCUGGGACGGUACUGACGCUAAGGCGCGAAAGCGUGGGGAGCGAACAGG
rnacentral:rRNA from 1 species